rnacentral:rRNA from 1 species
GAGUUUGAUCGUGGCUCAGAGCGAACGCUGGCGGCAGGCCUAACACAUGCAAGUCGAACGAACUCUUCGGAGUUAGUGGCGGACGGGUGAGUAACACGUGGGAACGUGCCUUUUGGUUCGGAAUAACUCAGGGAAACUUGUGCUAAUACCGAAUGUGCCCUUCGGGGAAGGAUUAUCGCCAUUAGAGCGGCCCGGCCGUCUGAUUAGC